UAGGGAAUCUUCGGCAAUGGGGGGAACCCUGACCGAGCAACGCCGCGUGAGUGAAGAAGGUUUUCGGAUCGUAAAGCUCUGUUGUUAAGGAAGAACGUGUGUGAGGGUGGAAAGUUCACACAGUGACGGUACUUAACCAGAAAGGGACGGCUAACUACGUGCCAGCAGCCGCGGUAAUACGUAGGUCCCGAGCGUUGUCCGGAUUUAUUGGGCGUAAAGCGAGCGCAGGCGGUUAGAUAAGUCUGAAGUGAAAGGCAGUGGCUCAACCAUUGUAGGCUUUGGAAACUGUUUAACUCGAGUGCAGAAGGGGAGAGUGGAAUUCCAUGUGUAGCGGUGAAAUGCGUAGAUAUAUGGAGGAACACCGGUGGCGAAAGCGGCUCUCUGGUCUGUAACUGACGCUGAGGCUCGAAAGCGUGGGGAGCGAACAGGAUUAGAUACCCUGGUAGUCCACGCCGUAAACGAUGAGUGCUAGGUGUUAGGUCCUUUCCGGGACUUAGUGCCGCAGCUAACGCAUUAAGCACUCCGCCUGGGGAGUACGACCGCAAGGUUG
rnacentral:rRNA from 1 species